AACAAACGCUGGCGGCGUGCCUAAUACAUGCAAGUCGAACGGGGAAAGCUUUCGGGUGAGUACUUGUGGCGCACGGGUGAGGAACGCGUGGAUAAUCCGCCUUAGAGUGGGGGUUAACUAGUCGAAAGAUUAGCUAAUAUAGCAUAAGACCACGAGAGCUGCGGCUUUUGAGGUCAAAGGUCUUUCGAUCUAAGAUGAGUCCGCGUAAGAGUAGCUAGUUGGGGAGGUAACGGCUCACCAAGUCGACGAUAUUUAACUGGUCUGAGAGGAUGAUCAGUCACACUGGAACAGAGAGACGGUCGAGGGGACUACGGGAGACAGCAGGAGGGAAUAUUGCACAAAGAAGGAAUCGCUGAUGCAGCGACGCCGCGUGAGUAAUGAAUUUGUUCGGAACGUAAAGCUCUAUCGCAGGGGAAUAACACAAUGAAGGUACCCAAUAAAAAAGGACCGGCUAACUUCGUG
rnacentral:rRNA from 1 species